GAUGAACGCUGGCGGCGUGCUUAACACAUGCAAGUCGAACGAAGAUGCCGGAGUGCUUGCACUUUGGCAGACUGAGUGGCGGACGGGUGAGUAACGCGUGGGUAACCUGCCUUAUACAGGGGGAUAACAGUUGGAAACGACUGCUAAUACCGCAUAAGCGCACGGUAUCGCAUGAUACAGUGUGAAAAACUCCGGUGGUAUAAGAUGGACCCGCGUCUGAUUAGCUUGUUGGUGAGGUAACGGCCCACCAAGGCGACGAUCAGUAGCCGGCCUGAGAGGGUGAACGGCCACAUUGGGACUGAGACACGGCCCAAACUCCUACGGGAGGCAGCAGUGGGGAAUAUUGCACAAUGGGGGAAACCCUGAUGCAGCGACGCCGCGUGAGUGAUGAAGUAUUUCGGUAUGUAAAACUCUAUCAGCAGGGAAGAUAAUGACGGUACCUGACUAAGAAGCACCGGCUAAAUACGUGCCAGCAGCCGCGGU
rnacentral:rRNA from 1 species